rnacentral:rRNA from 1 species
GACGAACGCUGGCGGCGUGCUUAACACAUGCAAGUCGAACGGAAAGGCCCUGCUUGCAGGGUACUCGAGUGGCGAACGGGUGAGUAACACGUGGGUGAUCUGCCCUGCACUUCGGGAUAAGCCUGGGAAACUGGGUCUAAUACCGGAUAGGAGCCAUUUUUAGUGUGAUGGUUGGAAAGUUUUUUCGGUGUAGGAUGAGCUCGCGGCCUAUCAGCUUGUUGGUGGGGUAAUGGCCUACCAAGGCGGCGACGGGUAGCCGGCCUGAGAGGGUGGACGG